rnacentral:pre_miRNA from 1 species
ACACGAGUCACCUGGGCAUCUUGUUAAACUGUAGGCUCUGAUCCAGCAGGCUUGGGGCGAGGCCUGAGAGUCUGCAUGUCUAACAAAAUCCCAGGUGAUGCUGAU